UGUGAAGGUUAUGAUUUUUAUUUGAAGCCAAAUUGCAACUAAGUGAAAUUGUAGAGUUAUUGACAAAGAACAAAUUUGUGCGUUAAUUAAAGUAAAGACAGCCACAAUAAGUACAGAAAUUACAUCGAAAUUGCGUCGAUUGAAAAAAUGUAUAUAAAAAUCAUUAAAAACUUGCCUGACAUUGUGAAAACGUAAUAAUUCGAAAGGUGGCGUAACAUUUGACUUUCAUUUAACCUUCGAAAUUAACAUUAAAGAGAGCGCCAACGCGUUAAACAUACCAUUGUUAGUAUUUUCGUUAUCGGAGAGUUUGCACGAAGCCAGGAGUUUACCUACUUUUAAUGGAAGCAGCGAAUAUUCACUCACUAAUUACUCGUAUUUGAGAGAUGUUAGCUUAGUAUUGCAGUUGACUGCAGCAGAACAUCAAAGUACAAUACAAGCAGACUGCAAGCUUCUUUUGUUGGGUUUUAUAUGACAUCGCGCAGUUUAUGAUAUCGGCUGUUCAAUACACCCCGAUUGGACACUACCGUCAAAAUUAUAAUCUGAGAGCAAAUGAACAAAAUGAGCAAAUUCAAGUAAGCUGAAGUAUUGUAUGUGUUAUAAGAUAAUUGUGCAGAAGUUAGUUACCUGAUAACCUUGAAUCGUUUCAACUUUAUGGUUCCAAUGGUCCGAAGUACAAACCGGAUUUUUGCAAGAAUACCAAAAAGCAUUUUCCACCAUUAGCCUCACUCAGCAUAUCCUUUCUGGCGAUUGAAGAUGAUCACAUAAACUAGUUUUGUAUAAGUGUUGUCAGCUCUUUUUGAUGAAUAUCAAAAAUAUUGGGAUUUGACGACCGAUAAUUUGAUCGCGUCCACUUCCUUGAAAACAACGCGACUAUUCCAUACACGCGCGAAAUAUAUACUCCACGCGGACAAUGGAAUAAUCUAAAACUUACCACAAUCCAUGCAAAAAUAUGGUCUAAUUAACAUUAUAAUGGUAUCCCGAGGUUGGACCGAAGAAUCCAUUGGGUACAUACAUAAGUGAAUUAAUCCAAAAAUUACUCCACCUUAUAGUGGGUUGCAUUACAUACACAUAUACGAAAAAUUACAUUUUCAGCUUCGAAUUCUAUUCGCAGUAGUUAGAGCAUUCAUCUAAUAUAUAUAUAUAGCAAGAUAAGAUUUAUCAAAUGAGUUUUAGUUAUUAUUUUUGAAAUAUAAUAGGCCAAGAUCUGGCCGUCAAAGGAAGCCAUCCCGACGUGGUGUUAGUUUUAUCAUCAAGGAGGCCACAAAAAAACGAUCCAACGAUAGCCGACAGCAUCGCUGCAACAUUAGGUAAUAAUUUACACCAAAAAUGUAGCAAAAACUUUACAGAGAAAUACCUAGCGAUGUAGGGUUCUAUGUAAAAAGCCUGUCAUAUCUGAGAUAAAUAAAAUAAAUAACUUCGUCUUGAAAA
rnacentral:lncRNA from 1 species